AUGUCGCUCAUCUAGAGCAAAGCUUAGCUCAUUAAGUGUCUAAAUGAAAAUCUCCUUCCAACUUAAUGUAAUACACUUUUAACAUGCGUUGUUUGAGCGCAGAUAUGAUAAUUUAGUUUAAACCAGGCGUUAAAAAUCCCAGAGAACAACAAUCUGUUCUAAUGCAGUCAAAGGAGUAACAGUGAGAAAUCUUUCCAACGGCUUCCUUGUGGCAGAGAUAUUUUCUCAUUAUUACCCCCAAGACUUUCCAAUGCAAACUCAACAAAGGAACAUCACUCACCGCCAAGCGGAGAAACUGGAGCCGGAUCGAGCGAACGUUACAGAAACAGAUCUGGCGGCUGGUGAAGGAGGUGGUUGAUGGAAGCACUCACUGUGAACCUGCAGCAGCUGAGCUCCUGGUGUCGGAGGUUUAUACUGUUUUAACAAACUGGAGGCGAGGAGAGACUGGGAGCAGG